CGGUUUAUAUGAGCGAACCGUGUGAGGACACCAGCUAUCACAGCUCAAAUAUGACAGCGUUAUAAUCCCGGAUCUUACUAGUAUAGAGCGGAAAGAUGGAUGACAUGAAGAAGUGGACAAACAUAACAAACAGUAGCAUUUUUAGCUACUUUCUCGACUCUGUGGCUUCAGACGAUGUGGCAACGAACCAUCUUAAAAGCUCCGAGGCGUAUCCACGUAAAGCAAUAAGCGUACAUCUGUGAUCUCUGGCGCCCCCCUUGGUUGGAUGCGGAGCUGCUGCUGUAGACGAAUGUGAAAUCACUUUGACAAAGACUUCAAUCUUCUAGACUAGAUGGUGAACACUGUUGAGAAUUUUACACCUUCAAGAAAAAACGCUGCUGCAGGCUGGAUGAUUCCCCGGCACAUUUCUGACGUCAAAAAGUUAGAUGAGAGCUCGUUGUGAGAAACGACGUCCUCACCGUUUACAGCUUCCCCCUAAAAGACGCUCGCUCUGCUGCUCUCAGAUGAAGCCAGACACGUUUAAAGGAGCGUACGUUGGAUGAAUAUUUUUGCAUCCAUUCAUUUGUGACACUUGUCAUCCUGCACGUGCAAACUCACCAGACAGUUUGCACGUUGGCUGCAGAGAGAAGAGAUGCUUCGGUCGCAGUGAACAGACUAAAACAUCCAGGUGAGCGCAGCCUUUCUGCUGCACACAGCAGCUGUGAGCGGUGCACAAAUGACCCGUCCUGGUUAAUUCUUCCACUUCCAGCCGCCUGUCAGUGAACGCAGCGCGGUAUAAAUAGCCCUCUUUGUUUACGGGCUCCAGGCCGACUCGCUGCAAAUCGGCCUCGAUCUGAGAGAGCCGAGUAUCUUGUUGCUACACCAACACGAUAAUGGCCAAAAUAUUUACACAGCUUAACCGUUUUAUAAAAUACUGUUAUGCAAAAAUCCUCCCGCUCUCCUCCUUAUUAGUUUAAAGUCAAAACAUGUUCAUGCAGAAACGGGACGAGCCCCUUAACUGCCUCUUUAACACCCGCUGUGUCAUGCAAAAUAUUAAAAAAAAAAAAAUGCAAAUAAUAUUUUCUGCAUGAGAAAGUUUUGGCUGAAAACACCGUGAAACCCUAAACCUUCCGUGUGGUGACAGGAAAGCCGCUGUGUGAACGUCCGUAUUUUUCCUCUUUUAGGAAUUUUCCCAGGCCGCCUGCGAAAGGAAUUUUUCUUCCCGCCUAA